CCUACGGGUGGCAGCAGUGGGGAAUAUUGGACAAUGGGGGCAACCCUGAUCCAGCCAUGCCGCGUGUGUGAAGAAGGCCCUCGGGUGGUAAAGCACUUUCAGUGAGGAAGAACGCCUGGUGGUUAAUACCCAUCAGGAAAGACAUCACUCACAGAAGAAGCACCGGCUAACUCCGUGCCAGCAGCCGCGGUAAUACGGAGGGUGCGAGCGUUAAUCGGAAUUACUGGGCGUAAAGCGCGCGUAGGUGGCUUGAUAAGCCGGUUGUGAAAGCCCCGGGCUCAACCUGGGAACGGCAUCCGGAACUGUCAAGCUAGAGUGCAGGAGAGGAAGGUAGAAUUCCCGGUGUAGCGGUGAAAUGCGUAGAGAUCGGGAGGAAUACCAGUGGCGAAGGCGGCCUUCUGGACUGACACUGACACUGAGGUGCGAAAGCGUGGGUAGCAAACAGGAUUAGAUACCCGUGUAGUC
rnacentral:rRNA from 1 species